AAGGCAACUCAGUGAUCCCUUCAGCUCCAAUGAUGAACUUUGUGCGUGCCCAGAUCAAGAAAGCAGCUGAUGAGACCGAGACUAUUCUUGAAACAACCCCGGCUGGCAAAAGCGAUGGAGAAGGUGCACUUCGAGCAUUCAUCAAGCGCCAGGGCCAAAAGUUAAGGCGGCUAUCAAACCUUUUUGGUUGUCGUGACCCCGAGUAUGUAUCACCAGAACGGUCUAGGUCGGCGACACCAUCAGAUCCCGCUUCGG